rnacentral:rRNA from 1 species
UACGUAGGGCGCAAGCGUUAUCCGGAAUUAUUGGGCGUAAAGAGCUCGUAGGCGGUUUGUCGCGUCUGCCGUGAAAGUCCGGGGCUCAACUCCGGAUCUGCGGUGGGUACGGGCAGACUAGAGUGCAGUAGGGGAGACUGGAAUUCCUGGUGUAGCGGUGAAAUGCGCAGAUAUCAGGAGGAACACCGAUGGCGAAGGCAGGUCUCUGGGCUGUAACUGACGCUGGAGGAGCGAAAGCAUGGGGAGCGAACAGG